UACGUGGGGGGCAAGCGUUGUUCGGAAUUACUGGGCGUAAAGGGCUCGUAGGCGGCCAACUAAGUCAGACGUGAAAUCCCUCGGCUUAACCGGGGAACUGCGUCUGAUACUGGAUGGCUUGAAUCCGGGAGAGGGAUGCGGAAUUCCAGGUGUAGCGGUGAAAUGCGUAGAUAUCUGGAGGAACACCGGUGGCGAAGGCGGCAUCCUGGACCGGCAUUGACACUGAGGAGCGAAAGCCAGGGGAGCAAACGGG
rnacentral:rRNA from 1 species